rnacentral:lncRNA from 1 species
AAAAAAAAAAAAAACUAAGUGCAAAUUUCACACAGCGUCGACCUCUUAUGGUUAUCAUCGAUUCUCAAAUCUCAUUCUACGUUCCCACAGAAAAUACAGACCAUUGGAAUUGCUAUAGGCUUUACUGCCGAUGGAAAUCGUCAAUCCAUUUGCAUUUUCAAGUCAAAGUCUGAUGGAGCAAGUGCGUAUAUAGUUGGGUGCCCCUCUUGUUUUGAUUCAUUCAGGUAAAACUCGAUUAUCUCUCAGAUUCCUUGUAACAAUUUAGACACAGAUGAGUUGAUCUUUGAUGAAUUUCUUCAAUUCAUUGCACUUUUAGAUUUACCGAACAGUCCGAGUCAAGCUACUGGGUUUCGGAUGAACCCAUACAUUGAACUCUACAUCUGCCCUUGGGUGGGAGGCAUGAAGUCAAUAGUAAUUCAAAAUAUAAAGAAGAAAACAUACCAUGAAGUCAAAGACAUUCAACAUCUACAUGUAAUUUUCCGGCGCCCAUGCAUGAAGUAGGAAGAUCUUUUGGUCUGCUGUGGACGUUCAAUGCUGGAAACUGUUAAGUUUUUGUUGCUCAAGCACAAUGCUUUUUUAACUCUAUGGAAAAUCAAAGUUCUGGGGUAAAGUCCAGAGCGGAGCCAGAAUUUCAAGCUUAUGGGUUCGAGAUUCUAAUCAUUUUAAGUUACUGGGUUCAAAUUAAUUAGUUGUACAUAAUUAGUGAAAUUUUAAGACAAAUACAUGAUUUGAAUAGCUAAUGGUUUCGGCCGAACUCGUAACCCACACUGUGGCUCCGCCUCUAGGGUAAACCUCUCAAGGCUAGAGUAGAUGGACUCACACUGAGUGUUUUAAUUGGGAUUUGAGUAUCGAAUCUCCAUGUUGUUACUUCUAUGCCUCUAUCACUCACCUAUCCUCUCCUGAUAAUUGGCUCGAUAAUUUGUUAACUGUUUAUUCGGAGUUGAGUAGUACAUAUAUAUCAAAAAUUGCCUGCUUAUUGAACUUAUACUUUUUGUUUGUUACUACCCUCUGAUAGUAACACGUGAGAAUUUUGGAAGUUUCUUUAUUUGCGACAUCAACUUAACCUCUCUCAAAGUGAAACUUAGAUUACACAGAUUUUUUUGGUAACUUCAAGAACAAAAGUAAUUCAUGGUUUACAAAUGUUACAGAAUUUUAAUGCUAGGGGUGUGUAUCCUUCUUCAUAUUGCGUGCAAUGUUCUUUCAAAUAGAGAAGCUUCUUUACUAUACUGAAAGCUUACAAAAUUUCAACUCCCUAUGAAUGGUGAUUGGUGAACUAAGCUUACAAAAGCACUGUCAGGGUGCUUAGUUGACCUCUACAGUAGGCUAGUAGCUGAGGCUGAUAUAGACCUUUUUGAGAAGCAAGGUCAAGUCUGUAAUUUAGCUAAGCUGUUAAAACUUUUGGAUCUCAUUGAAUACUCCUUUAUCAAUUUUGAGAAGAAAGAAUCCUCUUUUUCCAAUAGCUUUGCUGGUGUGUCAUAUUCGGCUAUUCUUCCUGUUAACAAGUGAAGGAAUUCAUAUAGUUAGAAUCAAGAAGUUAGCAGCUUAUUCAAAUCAAGAGGAUGGAGAGAUAUUAGAUGUAUUCAAAUAUUUACCUUCAUUCAAGACUAAGACAAGAUCGCUAUCGAUGACUGUAUGGAUUCUGUGAGCUAUUGUGACAACUGUUCGAUUUCUGAAUUCUUGACUGAUAAUCUUUUGUAACACUGCAUCAGUUGCAGCAUCAACUGAUGCUGUUGCUUCGUCCAGAACGAGAAUGCUGCUUUUCUUUAGCAAGGCUCUUCCAAGACAGAAAAGCUGCCUUUGACCGACACUCCAGUUCUCUCCAUUUUCAACCACUGUUAAACUGACCGCAUUAGUAGCUUUCAAGAAGUAAUACGCGAUUGCUUUCAUAAAAAAAAGCCGAGUCUUAAAUUACUAUAUUUAAUCAAGAAAUUUCUAGUCUCACCUGUAGUUUCCAGCUUUUCUGGCUUUGCACGUAUUAUAUCACCAAGUUGGCAUUUGUCCAGAGCCUGACAAAAGAAGAUUACUGCACAUUAUUCACAAUCGAAUCACCAAUAUUUAAGUUAAUUUCAACUUUUUUCUUGACUACAUAUAGAAGUUGGUUAAAGUUUAUACCCAGUCAUUUAAACUUUGCAAAACAAGUACAAGACCUACCAGAGGGUUAACAAGUUUUUUGUGCUUUUAGCUUGUUACCAUGCAAAGAUGACUUAUAAGACAAUCUGUCAAUUUAAGUGGUCAUUUUUGCAUAAUUAUUUGUGCAAUACUCGGUACAAUAAGUACCUCCCAGAUUUCAGUAUCAGAGUGCUCUGCUAGUGGAUCUAAGUUUCCUCUAACUGUUCCCUCGAACAUUGUUGGGUCCUGAGGAAUAAUACUUAGCCUUGACCUCAAAUCAUAAAGACCUAUCUUGCAAAUAUCUAUAUCAUCGAUGAUGAUGCUUCCUUCUCUUGGUUCUACGAUCCGGAAAAGGGCCUGAAUGAGGGUUGAUUUACCACUUCCUGUUCUGCCCACAACACCGACUUUCUUACUUCCUGGAAAUGUGCAUGUAGUGUUUUUCAGAACAGAAGGGAGGUGUUCAGCAUAACGUAUCUGCAGAGAGAGAUAUGGUGAUGAUAUCAGAGGGUUGAAACUUUCAGCCACGCAAGCUAAAACUUUUUUUUUAAAACAUGUAUAUAAUAUUGCUGCCAGUUUUCGGUAAAUAGAGCUUCAUUCCCUUCAUGUCAGGUGUUCAAACCUCAGAACUGAGUCUAGUUUGAUCUAAGCUAUGUGACACUAUCAUUACCUGCAAAUUUUUGAAGGAAAUUGUUCCAGUUUCUGGCCAAGUGCUUGAUGGUCUGCUAUUUUCAAUCACAAGAGGUGCUUCACUCGCAAGGUUUGAAUACUGGAGAAUCCUUUCAACUGAUAUCAUUUUGUUUUCAGCAUUGCAAAUAUUCCAUAUUACUGAAGCUUGUAAAACAUUCAGAUUGAUUCCAUACGUUACUGCCAAUCCUGCAAUGCCUGUAGAAUAUAAAGCGACAUCAGUUUUGUGCUUUUAACGUCUUGGUUUUCCUACUUGUGCUCUACAUAAUAACAUGAAGGAAAAGCAAUUUCUGAUACUUACUUGGAUUUAUAAUUCCUUCAGGGAGUGUGACUAGCAGAACAAGGGAGAAGGCAAAAACAAAAUUAGAUAGCUGGUUCAGUCUAAAAGAAAGCCAUUCCAUUGCUGAUACAUU